GCGCGCUUCUCGCGAGAUUCCGCGCUGCCCUUGGCCGAAGGCGGAGGAGUCAUGGCGUCGAGGUUAGUGAAGGAAUAUUGGGAUAUCCCGGACGGCACCGACUGUCAUCGCAAGGCUUAUGUCACCACCAAGAUGGGCAGCGGCAUCGGUUUGAUUGCCUCGGCUUACAACCUUGUAUUUUACCCACCUGAGUCGCUCAUCGAAGGAAUGCAGAGGGCAGGGAAAUACACAUUUACCAUGGCUGCAGUCGGCGCAAUGUUUGGCAUUACUUCCUGUAUCAGUGCCCAGGUCCGGGAGAAACCAGAUGACCCCCUGAACUACUUCUUUGGCGGUUGUGCUGCAGGACUGACCUUCGGCGUGCGAAAGCAGGAGCGUAAUGAGGAGAAGACGCCUGACACCUGAAGUGAAGUUGAAGGGGCGAGGAAAAGGAAACUAAUCCCAGAAUGGCAUUCUUUUUGGCCUACCGUACCAGUGUCCUUUCUCCAUCUUCCUGGCCCUCUCUGGCUGAACUAAUGAGCUCGGACCCCUGUGUGUGAUAGGCAUUUUCAACCUGAAGACAGUGAGUGUUAAGCUUUUUAUCCUGCCAGCUGAAAUCUU